CACCUACUCCCUCCGUCCCAAAAUUCUUGUCUUAGAUUUGUCUAGAUACGGAUGUAUCAAGUCACGUUUUAGUAUUAGAUAUAUCCGUAUCUAGACAAAUCUAAGACAAGAAUUUUGGGACAGAGGGAGUAUAUA
rnacentral:pre_miRNA from 1 species